rnacentral:rRNA from 1 species
UAUGGUAAUUGUGUGCCACGCGGUAAUACGGAAGGUCCGGGUGUUAUCCGGAUUUAUUGGGUUUAAAGGGAGCGUAGGCCGGAGAUUAAGCGUGUUGUGAAAUGUAGAUGCUCAACAUCUGAACUGCAGCGCGAACUGGUUUCCUUGAGUACGCAUAAAGUGGGCGGAAUUCGUGGUGUAGCGGUGAAAUGCUUAGAUAUCACGAAGAACUCCGAUUGCGAAGGCAGCUCACUGGGGCGCAACUGACGCUGAAGCUCGAAAGCGCGGGUAUCGAACAGG